rnacentral:miRNA from 1 species
UGAAGGCCAAACAUCUACCA